rnacentral:rRNA from 1 species
UACGUAGGGACCAAGCGUUGUCCGGAAUUAUUGGGCGUAAAGAGCUCGUAGGCGGCUGUCCACGUCGGAUGUGAAAGCUCGGGGCUCAACCCUGAGAGGCCAUUCGAUACGGGACGGCUAGAGGUAGGUAGGGGAGAUUGGAAUUCCUGGUGUAGCGGUGAAAUGCGCAGAUAUCAGGAGGAACACCGGUGGCGAAGGCGGAUCUCUGGGCCCUACCUGACGCUGAGGAGCGAAAGCUGGGGGAGCAAACAGG